rnacentral:rRNA from 1 species
UACGUAGGGUGCAGGCGUUAAUCGGAAUUACUGGGCGUAAAGCGUAUGCAGGCGGAUCGUUAAGUCGGGGGUGAAAUCCCGAGGCUCAACCUCGGAACUGCCUUCGAUACUGGCGAUCUUCGAGUCCGGGAGAGGUGAGUGGAACUCCGAGUGUAGAGGUGAAAUUCGUAGAUAUUCGGAAGAACACCAGUGGCGAAGGCGGCUCACUGGCCCGGUACUGACGCUGAGAUACGAAAGCGUGGGGAGCAAACAGG